CACAGCCCGUCACUGGUCUAGAUUGCACCCUGGAAUGUAAUAAUAUGUGGAGAGUGUAUAUCCAUGCUAUGUACAGAGUGGGGACACCCUGGGCAUCAGCCAAUGAUCCUCUAUCAAGUGUCAGUAAUAACUAUCUGAAGGUAGGAGUAAUUCUGACAAAUGCUAAGAAGGCAUAGAUUCUGUGUUUUGCCUUCUCCUAGUCAACCCUCAGCUAAUCAAACAGCUAUCCCUAUGUUGCUCUUAUCUGGAGGAGGAAAAUGACAUGCUGACAUAACAGAAGAAAUAACCUACAAACAAAAGAGAUUCUA